CGGCCGUACCUCGUUGAAACACCGGUGCCCGUAUAAUCGCUGAAGUUAAGCAACGCCGAGCCUGGUCAGUACCUCGAUGGGUGACCGCUAGGGAAAAACAGGCGCUGUAAG